CCUACGGGAGGCAGCAGUAGGGAAUCUUCCGCAAUGGACGAAAGUCUGACGGAGCAACGCCGCGUGAGUGAUGAAGGCCUUCGGGUCGUAAAACUCUGUUGUUAGGGAAGAACAAGUAUCGGAGUAACUGCCGGUGCCUUGACGGUACCUAACCAGAAAGCCACGGCUAACUACGUGCCAGCAGCCGCGGUAAU
rnacentral:rRNA from 1 species